rnacentral:lncRNA from 1 species
ACAAAAUUUGAAGAAGCGGUUUCCCAUGCCGAGACUGAAAAUCAUCAGCAUGAUGCUGAAGCCUGUCUGAGGAUAAAAGAGGCUAAUGAAACAGAUAGUUGUUUCCGCGGUUGGUCUUUAUUACACCUAGCAUGUCAUUCUGGCAGUCUGAGGAUAAAAGAGGCUAAUGAAACAGAUAGUUGUUUCCGCGGUUGGUCUUUAUUACACCUAGCAUGUCAUUCUGGCAGUACAUUAAUGGUUGAGCUGUUGCUCCAAUUUGGUGCUGAUAUAAACAUGCACGAUUAUCAUGGAAGGACUCCCUUGCACCGUUGCAUUU